AAGCCAUGCAUGUCUCAGUGCAAGCCGUCUAGUACGGUGAAACCGCGAAAGGCUCAUUAAAUCAGUUAUGGUUCCUUAGAUCGUACCCACGUUACUUGGAUAACUGUGGUAAUUCUAGAGCUAAUACAUGCCGACAGAGUUCCGACCAACUGUACAGAUGUGCGUCGGCCUCGGUCGUCGUCGCUGUACGGUUCGGAAGGAACGCUUUUAUUAGAUCAAAACCGGCCAGACGGUGGUUUCGCGUUCGCGCGCGUCUCCUUCGUAAGCGGCCCGCGCAAAGACUUGGUGACUCUGAAUAACUUCGAGCUGAUCGCACGGUCCUAGUACCGGCGACGUAUCUUUCAAAUGUCUGCCUUAUCAACUGUCGACGGUAGGUUCGACGCCUACCGUGGUGGUAACGGGUAACGGGGAAUCAGGGUUCGAUUCCGGAGAGGGAGCCUGAGAAACGGCUACCACAUCCAAGGAAGGCAGCAGGCGCGCAAAUUACCCACUCCCAGCUCGGGGAGGUAGUGACGAAAAAUAACGAUACGGGACUCAUUCGAGGCCCCGUAAUCGGAAUGAGUACACUUUAAAACCUUGGUCAC
rnacentral:rRNA from 1 species